rnacentral:tRNA from 1 species
GGGCGAGUGGCGGAAUGGCAGACGCAGGGGACUUAAAAUCCCCUCCGAGUUCGCUCGGGUGCGGGUUCGAAUCCCGCCUCGCCCA